CGCCCUCGGACGCCCGGACCGCGCAGGAGCCUGGGCGGCGGUCUAGGGACCCGGGGAUCCGGAAUCCAGUUGGGCUGGAGAACUCCCAAGGGGCCUGGGGACCCGGAGUCCUACGGGACGCCCCCUUCCGGGAAUUUGGAGUUCAGGGAAAUCCGAGCUCGGACGUGCAGGGUCCAGAGGAUCCGAAGCCUGAGACCGGGUCCGGGAGUCUGGGCAUCCGAUGUCCCACGCUGAGGGUCCUCGGUAUGGUCGGGCCGGUCCGCCCCCGACUCCUCGGGAAUGCUCCGGCCUGCCCUCCCCUGUAGGCUGGGCCCAGCCCUCUCCCCGCCGCCCGCAAAAGCCCCACCCUCGGCCCCGGGCAGCCCCGCGCCCUCGCCCGGCCCGGCCUCUCCCGCCAGGAGCUCUGAGUCGGGCCCUUUCCGGAGCAGCCUGCGCCUCUGCCUCCCGACCCUGAGCCAGGGAACGCUGGCGACAGCGCCCACAGGAACCCACGGCUUGGAGAGGUUGAGAAACUGCAGAGCCGCCCACCUCCAUGGCAGAGCGGGUAUGAAGGUACUCCACAGCCCUGGACCUGACUCCUCAUGGAAGAAAAUUAGGGGCGGCCCACACCACGGCAUAGCGCCCACAGAGAUUGGACCACGGCGCCCCGUACUGCCAGGCACUGCCAGCAGUCCAGCCAGUGCCCCAGCUGGAAUCACGGUGGGUGGAAGGUGGGAAAGGGCUUCUUGCUGAGGAAGCUCAGGAGUGUCCUGGUGGGAGGGGGAGGCGCAGGAUGGCCUUGGAGAUGGCAUCUCACAGGCCCCAGAGCAACUGCAGAAGGGUGUCACCAGGCCUGUGGGGAGAAGCAGCUCCAGGGGACCGGGGCUUUCCCUCAGCUAGGCUCAGUGGCGGGGGACUUGAACCCAGGCUGCCUGGCCAAAGCCACCAUCUCUCCCCUGCAGAAGCCCCCACUCCCUCGGCUCCUGUGUCCCCUCUCAUCUCUCACCAGCAGCAGCCUGGGGAGCAGGGGACAUGCAUGGGUACCUGGGCAGGAAAGGGGUCCCCUGGCACCUCCCAUGACCACGGCCCUCUCUCAGAUGCCAGUUCUCUGAAAGAAGUUGCCUGCCUCCUGUCCCACAGCAGAGAAUGCCAGUACUGCACAGAGCUUCCCACGGGGGCCACGCCGCUCCCCGCCCAUUUUACAGGGAAGGAAACUGAGGCUCUGAAGAGGAAAGGGCGUGUCGAUGCAGUUCGUGAGUGACAGCCGAACUCCAGGGCAGUCAGCCUGCUUCUGGAGCCCGCCCUCAUGGCUCCCGCACUCCCGCUUCGUGGCCUGGCCGGUUUCAGGUGAGGAAAGGGGCUGCCGCGGAAGCACCAGCAGCACCAGGGGAGUGCCCGGCCUCCCUCCCUGAACCUCCUCAGGAUGGCGCCUGCAGCACCCCCCAAGGACUUGCCCAGCUCCAGCCAGCAGUGCUCACCGCCCUGAAGGCCAAGGCGAGGGGAGCAGGUGGCAAGAGAGGACUCGCAGAUCCAGGAGUAGAGUCAAGCGGGCAUCGGUGGUCCGGGCGUCUCUGAGGCCGCCAUGGACCAGAGCCGCCCCCAGGUUUAAUCUUUUACAGAACAAAAGGUGGUGGGUACAGGCUCCAAAGCUGGGGCCUUAGCACACGUGCGGUGUGAGCGGCGCGGGCACCCUGUGCCUCGCAGUUCUCACCACCCCUGGUCUCCCCAGCCUGCUCUGGCCUGCAGCACUGCACAAGUCGUGAGAAGCUGCCUUUGCUCAUCUUUAAAGGCCACCAUUGUUCUGCCCAGACCUGGCUGCUGAAAGUCUCGCAGUGGGCAAAGGCUGGUUGCCUUCGAAAUCUUUCAGCUCUGGGCCGGCAAGUGGCGUGGUGGUUGAGGCACUGGACUCCCACGUGGUCAGCUGUGUUUCAAGUC